GAGAAUGGUGUGUCGUCAGGGCGAUGGCAUCAUCCAUAGAUCUAUUUGGAUGGUAUGCAAAGGGGUCCAAGGUCUCAGGAAGGGUGGAGCAGAUGUGGGUUCUGACCAGCCGUUCGAAGCACCUCAUGUUGAUGGAGGCUGAUAAUUAACAGAUUUUCAGGUGAUAUCAGUUUGUCACACGAUACGGUGAUCGAAAGGCAUACAUGAAAACAGAACGAGAAGAAACACUAACCGACACAAAAUGACAAGCA